UACCAUAAGCUUCUAGGUGGACCCCCAGUACUUCAAGGUCCUGGCCGCGGUCAUUGCUGACACCGUUGCCGCAGGCGAUGCCGGCUUCGAGAAGCUCAUGAGCAUGAUUUGCAUCCUGCUCAGGUCCGCCUACUAAACCAACGUGCACGGCCACUCCUGCAAGACUGCUA